rnacentral:sRNA from 1 species
UGUGCAGCUAGGCCGGCCAGCCGAAAAGGAGAACCUUACUCCCUGCUGCAUCUCUUCUUAAGGG